AGUGAACGCUGGCGGCGUGCCUAAUACAUGCAAGUCGAACGCGAAAGUCCUUCGGGAUGAGUAAAGUGGCGCACGGGUGAGUAAUACAUGGGAACAUGCCCUUGGAUGGGGAAUAACGUUUGGAAACGAACGCUAAUACCGCAUAAUCUCGCGAGAGUAAAGGUGGCGCCGCAAGGGCUACCGUCCAAGGAUUGGCCCAUGUCCCAUUAGCUAGUUGGCGGGGUAAUGGCCCACCAAGGCAACGAUGGGUAACUGGUCUGAGAGGAUGAUCAGUCACACUGGAACUGAGACACGGUCCAGACUCCUACGGGAGGCAGCAGUAGGGAAUAUUGCACAAUGGGGGAAACCCUGAUGCAGCAACGCCGCGUGAGUGAAGAAGGCCCUUGGGUUGUGAAGCUCUUUAGCGUGGGAAGAAGGUAGAUAUGGUGAAUAAUCAUGUUUGCUGACGGUACCACGAGAAUAAGCACCGGCUAAUUUCGUGCCAGCCGCCGCCGUAA
rnacentral:rRNA from 1 species